UAAGCCCUUCCACUUCCAUUUCUAUACACGCUCCCAGCGCCGAAUCAGUCAUCCCCCCCCCCCCCCCGCUCUCUCGCUCGCUCGCUGUGCGGGGUACGAGGAUGGUGGCGGCGGCGGGGAUGGCGCCGGCGACGGCGGAGGCGGUGGAGGAGCUCACGCGGCUCUACAGGGACCUGCCGCCGCGGCCGGCCGUGGAGGAGGUGGAGGCGGCUGCCGCGGUGCUCGCCUCGGCGGACGCGGAGGAGGAGGCGCGCCUCGCCGAGAUCGCAAGGGAGGAGGCGGCGGCGGCGCGGGCGGGGGAGGAGGGGGUUCCCGCCGAGCUCCUCGCCGUGCUGGGGGAGGCCAGGCGCAACGCCGUGCGGCUCCGCGCGAUGCAGCAGCGGAAGGAGGCCGCGCACGUCGUCGAGCUCGAGAGGAGCUUCAAGGUGUUCGACGAGCUCAUCCAGAGGGCGUCGCGGGUGGUGUCCUCCGGCGAAGGAGGCGAAGUCGACGUGGGGGGUGCCCGUGCGGUCGUCGUCGACGAGGUCGUGGAGGUGGAGGCGAAGAGGAAGCCCCAGGCGGCGCUGGCCGCCGCGGCGACGGAGAUAGACAGCGGGAGCAAGGGCGGCUUGGGCUUGGAAGCGAAGGCCGUCUCGUCGCUGCGUCGCGCUGCCUCUGCAGGCAGUGACACAGAGAAGUUGAGCCUUAUCCAAGUAGCAAGCCUUAUAGAGUCAUCAGCAAAGAAAGGGACCACAGAGCUCAAUCUUCGGGGGAAGCUGGUGGACCAAAUCGAGUGGCUCCCUGUCUCACUUGGAAAGUUACAAGAUGUUACUGAGCUCGAUAUAUCUGAGAAUAAGAUCAUGGCACUCCCUUCAACAAUUGGUAGCCUUAGGUACUUGACCAGGCUCGACCUCCACUCAAACCAGCUGAUCAAUCUGCCUGAUACCUUUGGUGAACUCUCCAGCCUGAUGGAUCUUGACUUGCAUGCAAACCAGCUUAAGUCUCUUCCUACAUCAUUUGGAAAUCUCACGAGCCUGGCAAAUCUUGACCUGAGCUCAAAUAUAUUAAAGGUCCUUCCUGAUUGUUUAGGAAAGUUGACAAACUUAAGAAGGUUAAUUGUUGAGACGAAUGAGCUUGAGGAGCUACCCUAUACUAUUGGAUCUUGCACCUCUCUUGUGGAGUUGAGAUUAGAUUUCAAUCAACUAAAAGCCCUUCCAGAAGCUAUUGGGAAGUUGGACAAGCUGGAAAUCCUCACAUUACACUACAACAGAAUCAAAGGCCUGCCUACAACAAUUGGCCAGCUUACCAGAUUGCGAGAGCUGGAUGUCAGUUUCAAUGAAGUCGAAAUGAUCCCUGAGAACAUUUGCUUCGCAGCCAGCCUUGUGAAGUUGAAUGUCAGCAGGAACUUUGCCGACUUAAGAGCACUUCCGAGAUCAAUAGGGGAUCUGGAUAUGCUAGAGGAGCUAGACAUCAGUAGUAACCAGAUAAGAGUACUGCCAGAUUCAUUCAGUCUUCUUUCGAAGCUACGUGUAUUUCAUGCCGAUGAAACUCCUCUGGAAGUACCACCUAGAGAAGUUGUGAAAUUAGGGGCUCAGGAGGUAGUUACGUACAUGAAAAAUAUGGUUGCUGCAAGAGGAGCAAGCCAUAAGGAAACAGAUGGAAAAAGCUUCUGGGCAUGGCUCCGCUCACUGUUGGGCUGCUGCAAAAAGGGCCAAGAGCUGGAAUCAGUUCCAGCUUAGCUGAAGCAUUUUAUCUGUCAAAUCUGUCUUGGGCAUCUGAUUGAUUUUUAUGUUGUUCCCGCAACAGCUGGAAUAUUGAAAGAUUCAAAGAAGGUAAAAUAAUUCAAACUGUGAGUGAACAACAUCUGCCUGCAAUGCAGGUGUUGGGCUGUUCGUAGAGGAAAUUGCCGACAUUGACGGUUUAUUAGACGUGGCCUUUAUGAAUGCUACUACGGGAUCCUUUGGCGGACCGUUGCGCCUUCUGUAGUUUUCUUAAACAUUUAUUUUCGAACCUAUUGCGUUUCGUUAGGGGCCGUAGUUGGCGGGAAAAUGGGCUCUAAACUUUUAGUAACGGGCCUAAAGCACUUCGUGAAUGAUAUCAUCUCUGGAGCGAAUGGGCCCAAUUGAUGAUGGGCCACAAAAACGCCUUAAGGCCAUAAAUGGGCCCAACAUCACUACACAUGGGUCGGAAACGCUGAUGGGUCACGUGCUACAUGAACACAUGGGCCUACUAGGGCCCACAAAGCAACAAUAUUGGCCGGCAAUGUACCUGUAACGGGUCUAUAUAUCAGUACAGGCCGUGGUGGGCCCAUAAUGGAAAAUUUUGGGCAUUCAAUGGGCCCGUAACGAGUGUAGUUAAGUCAUAAUAGGCCUACAAAGCAACAA